GUUUCUUUUUGUUUGCUUGUUUCUUUUCAGUUUGUGUGGGAAGCUAAUUUGCAUUCAAAGUUCCAGUUCAAGAUCAUUUGAAAGGCAGGUUUUCCUCUUAUACAGAAUUAAAUAUGCAAUGGACCUUUUCUUAACAAACAGGCUGAGAGUCUGUAAUAUACAGAUCUCCAGAUUUCAUUUAGGAGGCAGUUGCAUAUAAAAGAGAAAAAAAUGAAAUUUGAACCAUUCUUUCUAUGUAACUAUAUAGAAUAUAUAUAUAUAUGUGGUUUUUUUUUUCAGGAAAAAAAAAAAAGCAGAGGAACUGGAGGUAAAUGUGGAGACCUCUUCUACUUCAUUUCUGCAUAUCAGAAGAGACUGAGUUUGAAGGAGCCAGCGCACCCCCCAUGAGGAAGGGGACGAAUUGCAGCCCAGAUUAUUAUGGGUGCAGGGCUGUCUAUAGAGCACCACUGAAGACUCAGCAACCUUCUGCUCAGGCGUGGAUGUCCUCUCUGGCUUGAGUACAAAAUUAUAUCACUGACCUGUGCCUCAAGAGAAGUUCAGAGGAAAUAUUUCUGCUCUGCUUUUCUACCUUCCUCCCCAUUUCUCUGUCCCUUCCCAUUAAUUGUCCCUUUCCAUUCCCUCCUUAUCAUGCUUUUAUCAAUAAUUAAAAUAUUUAUAGUGAAGCACAAACACUGAAGUAAAGUCAACAGGCAUCUUUAAACCAAUAGCACUACUCUCCCUUGAGUCACCUUGGUUCAGGCACCUGUUACCAUAUGUAAAGAUACUUUACAAGCACAAAGAGAGUGCAGAAGUUAUUGGGUAACACAAACAACAGGUGGCCAGGACCGACACAGUGCCAUACUAAGCACUAACAUGUUCCUCAGGCCUUACAAAAGACUUCUGCAAGUAGCUGUCAGUCAGAAUGAAUGAGCCUCCCCUGCAGCCCUGAGCAGGCUGAGACUUGGUCUUGUUGAAUUACCCUCAUUUGGUUCCCUUUUGGGAUUUUUUUUAACCUUUUUUACCUUUUUUUGUUUGUUUGUUUGUUAGACUUAUUCUUGACAAGGUUUUUAUACAGAAUCCUUGAGUUGGUAACAGAGCCAGCAGCUGCCUGACUUCCUAAUCAUUGAGUGGCUCUAGCUCCAGCACUUUCUAACACUUUACCUGUUUUCUUAGGCUGAUCUCAGGUCCCACAACAGUAUUGUUUUAACAACAAGUUUAGUCAGAACAGCUGCUUUCCUGGGCCCAGAGUUACAUACAUACCAUGAUUUGGCCCCUUUCUUACAUUACAUGACCUACUUCCAAACAUUUGGAAGGCAAACUAAGUGUUAGGAUUGAUCCUCUCCUAUAGGACAUUCAAACUGCUUUUGUACCUGCUGGAGAGAGGAGACACCCCUGGGAGGAGGAGUAGGUGGUCAGGACAGUACAUAGCUGUCUCAGUAGUUUUCAAGCGUCAUGGAUAGCACAUAUUCUGCCAUCUUUGGACUGUAUUAUGGCUUUUUUUUUUGGGGGGGCAUCUAC
rnacentral:lncRNA from 1 species